UUUCAAUAAGAUAAUGAUGGAUAG
rnacentral:siRNA from 1 species